AAUGAGUGAAUAAGUGGGCUGUCCUCAUAUUA
rnacentral:piRNA from 1 species